CUCUUUCGUCCGCGGUAGCGAAGUCGGCUUCGCCUUCGUUUCUGCGAACCUGCGAUAGAACCAUUAUUACGCUUUCUCUCUCUAGAAGCAUCCUCGCUCGUAGCCGCUGCUAUUCAUUAAUCUCUUUCUGUCUCUCUCCAAUCCGAUUGAAUCCAUCGGACUCGGUUCGUUGGUAAGGCCUUCGAAUCUCAAUAAUUGUCGGGAGGGAGUAUAUCAUAUUAAUUUCUAGGGUUUUCUAUCGUCAGCUAUUGUUCGAUUUCGGGCUUUUAUUUCUAGUUUAUUAACAAAGAUUGAAGAAAAAAAUAAUUGUUGGCCCUACGCGAUUUACUUUCGGCUUUGAACUUGUUUCUCGUAUCAAGAUCUGUACUUUGAUUGUCUCGCUUUAUAAAUUGAAAUCUUGUGGGGUAGAAUUAGGGGAAAUUGGGGAAGGAGGUCUUCUGUUUGUUUUGAUGAAAUUUGGUGAAAUUAGGCUUAGGGUUUUCUCUUAAACCCCGGUUUAGGCGAGUUUAGCAGGUGAAUUGAAUUUUUUUGGCUGUAUCAAAGGGAUAAACUCGGUUAUAGAUUUAUGGCGGCUGGAAGACAUGGGGGUUAUAGGGACAAUGAGUUCAGGGAUCGUGAGUCUGACUUUGAGGUAGCCAGGAGGGAAAUUGGCUAUUCAAAAGGUGAUUAUGAUCGGAUGAGGAAUGGUGUGGGGGACUAUGAUAGGGGGAAUAGGGCUCAAAAUCAUGAUGGUCGAGAUAGGGGUAGAGUUAGGCAGAAGGAUAUUAAGGAGAGGGAGUUCACUAAUGGUGGGUAUCGGUCUGCCUCAAGUAGGAGUGACUCGGGCAGUAGUGGUGGUGGUAGUGCUGGUCUGGGGCCGAAGAGGUAUGGUUUUUGCAUGAGGCCCGUGGACAGAGAACCUGGGGAAUUGUCCAGUGAAAGUGGGUCUGAUGGGGCUAUUGAUUCUGAAGCGCAUAAGAAGGAUGGUGGUGAGCUUAAGAAGUCAGAAAAUGGAAAGAGAAAAUUUUCACCCAUCAUUUGGGAUAGAGAUGGAGAUGGCAAAAGAGUGACUAGAAUUGUUAAGGCGAGGACUUCCCCAGCAGCAGCUGCUCUUCCCCCUCAGCUACCCACGCCUACUUCUGGCACCAUGUCACCUGAUCGCAACCCUGAUAGUCGUCAACAUAUUUCACCUAGUAAAGAUAUAGUGGUUCAGAAUUCUGGGCUGUCACCGAAAAAGGUUACUGAGGACCUCACUUCUCAAAUAAAUGUUGCUUCUGACUCUCCAAUUGGUUUAUCUCCUUCAGCUCCUGAGGCAGAGGAAGAGGAAGCUCACUGGGGUAAAAAUGAGGGAGCAGUGACAGUAGAUGAUGAUUACUAUAUGCCAGCACGUAAUAUAAAAUCCUCUCGCUGGGCAAAUGAGGCUGAAUCAUCAGCUGAUGAAGGUGAAAUUUCUGAUGAUGAGGAGAUGGUUAAAUUGAAGAAGAAGAAGAAAUCUGUUAAUGAAUCUACUGACACAAGGGGACAGAGGAAAUCGGUAACCCCAGAGCUCGGGGAACUGAGGAGAGAAGGUUCAGUGGGAAAUAGGGUCAGGUCUUCUGAUGAACGCGUUAGAUCCUUUAGUGGAGAUAGUGAUCCUGAUGAAUUGGACAGGAAUGAGUACAUGGAGGUUGAUGAAGAUCGCAGUUAUGGUGGAACCAGUGGUAGCAAUGCGGAUACUGGUUCUGAUGAUGAACACAACUCCCACGGGACACCAGAACAUGCAGUUCCUCCACCAAGGGCCGUGAACAUGCUUCAGGGUUGUAGAAGUGUUGAUGAGUUCGAGAGGCUGAACAAAAUAGAUGAAGGCACAUAUGGUGUAGUUUAUAGAGCUAGGGAUAAGAGAACAGGAGAAAUAGUUGCUCUGAAGAAGGUCAAGAUGGAUAAAGAAAGAGAAGGGUUCCCUUUGACCUCUUUGAGGGAAAUAAACAUUCUUCUUUCUUUUCAUCACCCAUCAAUUGUAGAUGUCAAGGAAGUAGUUGUAGGGAGCAGUUUGGACAGCAUUUUUAUGGUAAUGGAGUACAUGGAACAUGAUCUGAAGGGGUUAAUGGAGACAAUGAAACAACCGUUUAGCCAGAGUGAAGUUAAGUGCCUCAUGCUUCAGCUUUUUGAGGGUGUUAAGUAUCUUCACGAUAACUGGGUUUUGCACAGAGAUUUAAAGACAUCAAAUAUACUUUUAAAUAAUUGUGGUGAGUUGAAGAUCUGUGACUUUGGACUAGCACGUCAAUAUGGAAGCCCUUUGAAACCAUAUACUCACUUGGUGGUUACUUUGUGGUACAGGGCGCCUGAACUGCUUCUAGGAGCUAAGCAGUACUCUACAGCGAUUGACAUGUGGUCCUUGGGUUGUAUUAUGGCCGAGCUGUUAGCGAAGCAGCCACUAUUCAAUGGGAAAACAGAAGUUGAUCAACUUGACAAGAUAUUCAAAAUCCUUGGUACGCCUAAUGACACAAUCUGGCCUGGGUUUUCAAAGCUUCCUGGGGUCAGGGUUAACUUUGUCAAGCAUCAGUAUAAUCAACUGCGUUCCAAAUUUCCAGCUACAUCCUUCAGAGGAUCGCCGGUACUCUCUGAUGCUGGAUUUGACUUAUUGAACAGGCUUCUGACUUACGACCCUGAGAAGCGAAUAACUGCUGAGGAUGCUCUCAGCCAUCCUUGGUUUUCUGAAGUUCCUCUACCCAAGUCGAAAGAAUUUAUGCCUACUUUUCCUGCUCAGCAUGCUCAAGACAGACGUUUGCGAAGAGCCAUGAAGAGCCCAGAUCCCUUGGAAGAGCAGCGCAGGAAGGAGUUGCAACAAGGGGAACUAGGAACUAGUGGUUUGUUUGGUUAAGGGAAGUCAUUAGUGCCUUGAAGUUCAAUUUAUGCUUCAGUUCUGUUCUCGUGAUUGAUGUGGUUGAGGUGAGGAUGUAUUGAGAGGAAGUUAUUGUCAGAAGAUCAUUCGUGCUGUUUUUUAGCAGGCACCCUUGAUGAAGUAGAUGGAGAAUCAAUUCUUUGUCUAAGCUUUUGAAUCAGAUGUGGUGGGGAGCUCUGGUGUAAUGAAAAUUCCUUCUUUGACACUGCUUGCAUGCCAAGAGACACUGGUGUAACGCGGAGCAGGCUUUCUUAGCUUUUGAUUGACGAAGAAAUGACAGAAAGUAUUGCGCUUUGGAGUAUCAAGGCAGGCAGGUUGGGGGAGUUUACCUGUACAACCUGGCAUAUAGAUUUUCAAAUUAUUUUUCCAUUCUUCAGAUAUUCUUUUUCUCUUCUUCAAAGCUCUGUGGAGGAUGACUGGUGGAUUUAAGGUGCUAUUCUUCUUAUGAACUGAGACAGUCUUGACUUAGAGCCUGCUGACAACUUGGGGGUGCUUAGUAUUUUAAGAGUGAAGGGGCAGUAUUGAGUUAGAGCCGCUACCAACUUGGGGGUGCUAUAUUUUAACAGUGGAAGGUAUGGAUAACGUCAUUAGCUGGGAAGAAGAGAUGAAUACUUGGAUCAUUAGAAAGUUGUAGUGCGACGCUGGUUGUCUGUCACAAGGAGCGUAUCCUGAGGUGUCAACUUCUAGUUUAUAAACUGCAUUUUUAUGUGUUAUGUGUGGUAAAAUUCCUUGUCUCAUUGUUUUUCAUAGAUGCAGCGAGGAGAGAACUUAUUAUCAUAGAUGUGCUUGCUUCUGGUUUUGGAUACUUUUGGUUCUCUUAGCUUUUGCUUCUCAAAAGUGUUUCAAGGUAAUUUUCAUAGUUGGAAAAAAGUAACUAAAAGAGAUUGAAUGCAAAGGUUGAUCAGUGUAGGUUCAAUAAUGAAUGCAGUGCAGGAUAUGGGUGAGAGAGAUUCUUGAUGAUGUUGAGGAACCGUUUACCAUCGUUAAGUUUGUCUUCGUUGGACUUUAUAGGCAGCUUCUUUCCUUGUGUAUCUUUGAUCCUAUUCUUGUAAUUCUGCUGUUCAUCAUGCAAGUGUUAGUGCAAGGAUGCAAGGAUUUUUACUAGAAAAAUCUGGAGCUUCUUGGGCUUUUUAUUGUUUGGUGCAACGUGAGAUCUGCUGAAUGGAUUUUUCCUUUGCGUAUUUUUACCUACCUGACGUUUAGUAUUUCUAGCUUCUAGUGGCCUAUAUAUGGUAAAUUUUUUGUAUGAAUUAAUUUAUGGCAACGUAGGGUAGUUGAAAUAAUUAGUGUGUUGUUGGAUAUUUGGAAGAUCACGAGGUAGCAGAGGCGGCAUUAUCUGAAUCUAGACUCUACGCGUGGGGUUUGUGUUCAACUGCUUGACCAUCGUUGGCCUGCAUGUGCUGUAGAAUUACAGGUGUCGUUGAAGCCUAGCUUGUAUUUCCUGUCCCCGGGUUUGCCUUCUAGACGUUGACAGAUUAUCAUGUUGAAUUUUGUGGAAGGUGAUGGAGCGAGACCAGCACUGUCGCUUAAGCACCCUCAUCAGAGAGAGAUUGUUGCUUGAACAUGAGCAUCUUCAUCUGAGAAGAUAGCUCUUCAAUUCAAGGAUUGUAUGCUGUGUCCCAUUUAUGAAUACGGUUAAUAUUAAAUCUGUCAUAAAAGGUAAAAGAAUUUCCCGAAAAAAUGCUGUUCCAAAUAGCCAACCAUACGUACUGGUUUAUGUUUUCUAUUAUAGUACAAGUCGAAGUCAAUGACACUUCAUAACUAUCCUGUUAUUAUUAUUAUUAUUAUUAUUAUAUUUUUUUUGGGGGUCC